rnacentral:rRNA from 1 species
UACAGAGGUCCCAAGCGUUGUUCGGAUUCACUGGGCGUAAAGGGUGCGUAGGCGGCGCGGUAAGUCGGGUGUGAAAUCUCGGGGCUUAACUCCGAAACUGCAUUCGAUACUGCCGUGCUUGAGGACUGGAGAGGAGACUGGAAUUUACGGUGUAGCGGUGAAAUGCGUAGAUAUCGUAAGGAAGACCAGUGGCGAAGGCGGGUCCCUGGACAGUUCCUGACGCUGAGGCACGAAGGCCAGGGGAGCAAACGGG